CCUCUUAGCAAGUAAGCUUGCCUGCAGCUGCUAAGACAGCAGUGCCCAUAAAAGUAAAAAUAAGCAUCACCAUGUCAUCCAGAAUGGCUUUCUUCAAUUCCUGAAUUGAACCAUGUCCAGUAGUUGAGUUCCUCUGCAUCGACCAGCUUGAUGUGGUUGCAGGGCAGAGGUGCCCCUACAUGCCCUAGGACACCAGAACAAGGUGAUGCUAGUUCAGUGGUUCGGUACCAUGGUGCUUGACAUCCCUGGGGGAGUCCCCAAGCAUCCUGGUAGAGUGGAGCAUGCCUACGAUCGCAGAAGUCGAGAGGUAGAGGAAACAGUAUCAGGAGCUCAAGGUCAUUCUAGGCUGUGUAGUGAGUGGUUGGAGGCUAGCCUGGGCCACCUGAGGCUAGCCUGGGCCACCUGAGGCCUUACCGCUAACAAAACAAAACAGAGACAAAACAAAAAUGGAAACAAACCCCCAGGUGGGUUAAAGCAGGGAGCUGUGGGACCAGAGUAACACACCUUUACGCAGGUGCUGGUGACAGGGACAAACUGAGGGCAAAACUAAACUCCGGGGAAUGCAGAGUGUGAGCUCCACUUUCUAUCUAUUCACACAUAGGGUUCUCUGUGUAGCCCAGGUUGUCUUGAAAUUCACUACAGCACUCAGGCUGACCCCAAACUUGUGGUUCUCUGUGUCAUCCUUACCAGUCUUGCAAUUAUGGGAAGGCAUCAUCAUGUGAGAUU
rnacentral:lncRNA from 1 species